rnacentral:rRNA from 1 species
GACAGAGGCCUCAAGCGUUAGGCGGAAUCACUGGGCUUAAAGCGUGUGUAGGCGGAUCGUUAAGUGUCUUGUGAAGUCCCACGGCUCACCCGUGGAACGGCUGGGCAUACUGGCGAUCUUGGGCCAACUAGGGGCAACUGGAACAAGCGGUGGAGCGGUGAAAUGCGUAGAUAUCGCUUGGAACGCCGAAGGUGAAAACAGGUUGCUGGGGUUGUGCCGACGCUGAGACACGAAAGCCAGGGGAGCAAACGGG